rnacentral:lncRNA from 1 species
CUACACCAACUUUUUGCAUAAUUGGAAGUUUAUAAUCAGCCUGUUUUUUCUGUCUUUAUAUUUUUCUAGAAAUAACAAAGCCUUGUAAGAUUAAAAAGCUUCUUGAGCAUGGAGUACCUGAAUAAAUGAGAUUUGGACACUUGAAGUAAUAUCUACACUGCAGUCAGAGUACGAGAGCAUCUGCUUCUGGGUACCCACAGAAACAAGAAACCAGAGGAGCCCAUGUUUCAAGAUGAAGCUCUGAAGUGUUUAUGAAAGUUUAAAAAUUUAGGAAUCUUUCUCUUCACUAGAAGUGUGGAAAAGUGCUUAUUCAUCAGUAGCAUCCAGAGGCCAGUAUCAAGAUCAAAACCUUGUCAUGCACUUUGCUGUACAGUGACGUAUGAAGACACAGCUUUUCUCUCUCCACUCCCCAAAGUCACAGCCCUUCACUGUCUUUUGGAGGCUUGUACCUCUAGUAUCUGAGAGAUCUUGGUGGUGGACUAUCCAAAUACUGUGCAGGACUGCUGAGUUUCUGUGAUCAGGCAGCUGAAUUCAGCCUGUAGGGUUGAAAAGUAUCACAGACACCGAGGCCUGAAAGGAG